AUGCAUGAUGACAAACCCCAUAGACCAAGACUUGGCCAUGCAAUCACCAAGCUCCACCUCACCUCUUCCUUGACUUUCUCAAACAAAUAGAACAUCCAAGAAGCUCCUUACUUCUCCAUUUCCUACGGGUAAACACCAAGUCUGAAAUUUCAGCUUACUUUACUCUCUUUUUCUCUUAAGGAAAGUGCUAGGAAGCUCCCUUGAGUCUUCCUCUCAAGUCCACCGGUUCACACACCAAAAGAAAGACAAAAACCCACCCAAAAGUGUUCCCCUUAUCCCAUUUUCUUGGCUGCACCAGACAGAAAGUCCAGCAGCAAGAAGGAAGCUCUUUUCAAUUCUCUCAAGCUCUCUACCUCUCAUACCUUCUGGUCCAGCCACUAGGAAAGGAAAAUCCUUUCAUGUGUUACCAGUAUCCAAGUCUAAGCUCCUUCGACUUUAGGCUCUCAGUUCCUCUGCUUUCAGGUAAGGGAUAAGUUAUAUGAGCAUUUGGUAAGUCAUGAGAUUAUUUUAAAGUAUAUUAUACAUUAAAAUGUUUUUGAUUAGAGAUAUGGCAUGUAAUCAUUAUUCUGACAAAGAUAUGUUCGUGAGCCUUCGAAAAACUUAUGUAUAUGAUUUAAGCAUAUUGAUGCUAUUAUUGAUUCCACGAAUGUGAUGUUUAAUGAAAAGAAUGGAAACACUAUUAUUAUGAAAUGUUAUGCAAAAUAAGAAAUUUCAGUAUGAUGUAAAGUAUGAAAUGUUUUCGGGUUAUGUCCUUUGGUAAUCUGAACUCAGCCAGUAGGGGUUAAUUAUUGGCUUUCCAUGGAAAAAUGUUAUAUGUUUGGCAAUUUAAAGUAGAGGAAAUGGGGUUGCCCGUAACUCUAAUCUGAAUAAGGCCUUCUCCCCAAUGUGUACGGACGGCGGGGAGGAACAAAACUUGGAGGGGAUGUGCCAUCAAGCCUCCCAAAGGGGACAAUAUCAUACACAUGGGGGCACCCAAAUGUGAUGAGGCCUUCUCUGUACAGCUUAUCAAAUAUGGACUAACCAAUAUGAUAUGAACAGCUAUGUUAUGUUAUUAAUCAUGAGAGAAUUAUUUUGUUUAAAUGCAUUAUGAAAAGUUAAAAGCUCUCAUGAAAAUAAGAAGUUUCUGAUAAAAAGAAAGCUGUUCAUUAAAGAUAAAAGUUUAUGAAGUUCUGUUAUGCUAUAAAGGUAAAGUUUCUGAUGAAAGUACAAGUUAUGUUUAAAAGUUAUCAGAUACCUGUUCUUUAUGAAAUGUUAAGUUUUAUGACUAUGAAAGUUGUAAUAAAUUUUGGAAAGAGGUUUAUAAAGAAAAGUUUUCUUAUUAGUCAAGAUGUUUCUAGUUUAAUACAAAGUUGUCGAUCAUCUAAUUUAAGUUAAAAUAAUUAUUUUGUAAUGAGAAUAUAUAUAUGGCGACUUUGUAGGAAGUGAAAGAAUUUUAAUCCGAAAGGUUUUGGUAAUAUUAUUCUGAUAAGAAAAGGGAGAACAAUUAUUUUCCCAUGAAAAACGUAUAAGUUAUUAUUCUGAAUAGUAUAAAAUACUAUGCAUGAAAAGAUGUUCUCCUAUUCGAAUAUUCAUAGAAUGAAAUGAUUUGAUUUACAUGCAUCCUUAUUGAAUUCUCAUAUAUCUUAUCUUUACUGAGCUGUGUAGCUCACCCCUUCCACUUUUUCAGUUAGCAGGUUUUAUUUUGGAAUAGAGGGAGACUUAGUUGAGUUUGGAAGGAGCUAGUGUUAGUUUUAUAUGUAUAGAUCCUAAAUUAGCAUUCUGACGUUUAGCUUUAUGGUUAUUGUGUAUUUUAGGAUCAAAUGAAAGUUGUGUAUACCUUAAAGUAUCAAGCGAUGUAUUAUGUAAAAGUGUGGAAAUUAAAUGAUUGGUAGAUUAUGUUA